UACGGGGGGGGCAAGCGUUGUUCGGAAUUACUGGGCGUAAAGGGCUCGUAGGCGGCCAACUAAGUCAGACGUGAAAUCCCUCGGCUUAACCGGGGAACUGCAUCUGAUACUGGAUGGCUUGAGUUCGGGAGAGGGAUGCGGAAUUCCAGGUGUAGCGGUGAAAUGCGUAGAUAUCUGGAGGAACACCGGUGGCGAAGGCGGCAUCCUGGACCAUGACUGACGCUGAGGAGCGAAAGCCAGGGGAGCAAACGGG
rnacentral:rRNA from 1 species